CCCGCCUGACCACUGCCUGUCUCUGAGCCUGCCUGCCGUCCUGUACCUUUGCUCCACCUCUGGAUUACCGACCUCUGCCUGACCUGACCCUGAGACUGCCGGCUGUCCUGUACCUUGGCCUCUUCUCUGGAUUGUCGACCCCUGCCUUGACUUGUUGUUUUCUUGCCCCUAUGGUCACAAACAUGGUUACUUCAGUCUGCACUUGGGUCUUACCUUGAUUCCUGAUAGAGGACGUGCUUCCACAAUAAUGUGAUUUGUACCGCAUAUAAGUUACAGUAUUGGAUUCUUCACACACCACAGUAAUCAUAUCUACCUACGGGGGAAGGAUGGCCAGCCACACAGGAGGGUGAUUUUUGUUAAGGAGGAGAAGGAGGCCGUGCUGACUGUGAUGCUUGCUGGCCAAUUCGGAGUGAAGCGCCUGAUUGCCAAAAUCAACCUACGCUUCUUCUGACAGGGAAUUGUCAAGGAGGUGGACAGCUGGGUCAGUACCUGUCCAGCCUUCCAGAAGUUUGAGAGGGCGAAGACUGUGGCGCCGGAGUUGAAGCACGUCAAAGUUGUUUUACCAUGGCACAUGAUCGGUGAGACUGAACAUGGACAAGGCGCAGGAGAAACAGAAGGAGAGCUACCGGAGCAGAGUCAAGAAGGGGACCAAGUGCUACGACAUCCGGGCAAAUGACUUGGUUUGGAAGAAGAACGAAAGGAAGGCAGAGACCUUGAAAACCUCGCUGCUCCUAGCUGUGGUCACGAUCUGUUAAAGGUUACCUAGGGUUACCUAAGGUUACCUAGGAAGCUAACCAUCUUCUGCAGUUGGACGGUCUACCACUGGAAGCAUUGACGCCCUACACUUCAGUGAAGCCCAAUUUACAAAGGAGGUUAAGCUUUGGUUGACAUUUGAGAAAGCAAGAAAUGGUUGUUAUACUAAGCUUACAAAAAUGUACCUCUUCAAUUUACCUCUCCAAAUGACUUUAGGACCAUCGACUGUCCGAGCCCCCCAGGAGGUAUCCCAUCUACCAGAACCAGUGAGUUCGGAUCAGUCUGAUUCUCUGUGCUCUGAGUCGGAGGGGGACUAGCUUGAGAGCUAGGGGUUUUGGCCAACACCCAGAUCCACCUGAUGUCCUCCAUUACCAACCAUUGUUUUCAUUACCUCAUCUACAGCUACUGUUGUCAUUACGUCAUCUACAGCUACGGUUAUCAUUAUCUGCUAAGAAAGCUGUCUUGCGCUAUCAUACUGGGCACAUAAUAUGUGAGAGACACAGAUUAACUAAAAACAUUAGCACUGAAAAUCCUCUGAACAAAGCGAACAGCAGUGCCUGGACUUCGCAGUCUCCUUCUUCAAGUCCCCCCUUCUGAGACUGGGUGCCUGUUGAGAACAAGUGACAGGCAGAAUCUCCCACCCACACAGCAACCACCUCCUAUAUUCCACACACCAGAAUUAUGUAUUUAGUCUAUGAUUGCCAUGUGAAAAUAAAUUAAUGACACAACUGUACCAAAAAAUAUCAACGUUUCUGUGUUACAAUCUUAAAUAUUGACGGGUUGGUUUUCACAACAUGUUCAUUGCUGUAAGGUAUCCUUUGAUGGUAUUUAUUUGUUCCUCAUUAUUCAUUGAAUGUAGUAAAUUCUGCCGUAGGGAAAGCGUGCAUCUCACAGGUGAGGGCAACGACCUCUUCCUUGAGUUUGAGAGCUGAUCCCUCUUUUGUUCUAGCAAGAGCUGUGCUCUUGGGGUAAUUCUCAAAAUGCAUUUAUUUUUAAUUUUUAAAAGGAAGUGUCAGGGAACAUUGUUUUUUACAUGUAUCUAACCUUUGUGUAGUGACAGUGUCCAUAUAUACUGUACUUCCAUAAAUGUUUUAUACUGGUAUAAGGGGACUUUAUGUAUUAACCUAUCAAGAUCAAAUAUUGUAGUUGGGCAACAUAUGAGAUGUGAAUAUAAAACAUUUCAUUCUGAAGUUGGAGUGUACUUUCUCUUGAUUCAGCUCAAAUAACGGCCGUCAUUGAUUUAAAGAAAUGUUGUGACAUUUUUUACGUGGUUGCGUCAUAUUUCUUUGCGUACUUUCUAUUGAAGCUUGCAUCAAUGCAUGCUUCAAAAUAUGUACAAACGGAGUUUGCAUUUUGAGAAGUGCCCUCCAUGCUCCAUUUCGCAUGCUUUCAUUUGGAAUCGUACUCCGAUCCUCCCGUGCUCCAAUUUUCGUUGUAUGCAUUUUGAGAAUUACCCAUCGACUUUGACAGACCAUUUAAAUUUCUUGAAUCCUUCCUUCCAAAAUGAUUUUGUUCAUUUACUCAAUAGUGAUUUCACGUUUAUU
ensembl:lncRNA